rnacentral:rRNA from 1 species
UUCGCCCUUUUCCGGUUGAUCCUGCCGGACCUGACUGCUAUCGGAUUGAUACUAAGCCAUGCGAGUCAUUGUAGCAAUACAAGGCAGACGGCUCAGUAACGCGUAGUCAACCUAACCUAUGGACGGGAAUAACCUCGGGAAACUGAGAAUAAUGCCCGAUAGAAUACUAUACCUGGAAUGGUUUGUGUUCCAAAUGAUUUAUCGCCGUAGGAUGGGACUGCGGCCUAUCAGUUUGUUGGUGAGGUAAUGGCCCACCAAGACUAUUACAGGUACGGGCUCUGAGAGGAGUAGCCCGGAGAUGGGUACUGAGACACGGACCCAGGCCCUAUGGGGCGCAGCAGGCGAGAAAACUUUGCAAUGUGCGAAAGCACGACAAGGUUAAUCCGAGUGAUUUGUGCUAAACGAAUCUUUUGUUAGUCCUAGAACCACUAACGAAUAAGGGGUGGGCAAGUUCUGGUGUCAGCCGCCGCGGUAAAACCAGCACCUCAAGUGGUCAGGAUGAUUAUUGGGCCUAAAGCAUCCGUAGCCGGCUCUGUAAGUUUUCGGUUAAAUCUGUACGCUUAACGUACAGGCUGCCGGGAAUACUGCAGAGCUAGGGAGUGGGAGAGGUAGACGGUACUCGGUAGGAAGGGGUAAAUCCUUUGAUCUAUUGAUGA